rnacentral:rRNA from 1 species
AUGGACAAGUUCCACGACAGGCAGUACGUGUGGCUGCGGAGCCGCGUGCACGGCACGUACCUCCACGCCAACAUCGACGGGAAGAGCGUCUCCCUCCACCGGCGCCGCGCAGCGCUGAGGGCGGCCUGGGCGGUGCACAUCCACCAAGGCGACGAGCCGUACCUGCUCCUCUACAACGCCGCCAACGGCCGCUACCUCGCCGCCACGGCCACGCGGGCGCCGCCCGGCCACAUCGGCUUCCGCGCCGAGCAGCGCGACUACGACCAGCCGCAGUUGCCGGCCAUCAUGUGGCGGGCCGCCGAGACGGGAUUCAGGGACGACGUCCUGCUCCGCAACGUCGGCGGCCGCUACCUCCGCGCCAACGGCAAGUACACUGGCAAGUACCUAAGCCUGAAGAACGUCACCGUCGACGGCAUCAACAACGUCAGCACCAUGAUGUACUGGACCGUCGAGCCUAUCCCUCUCAGAGACCCGAACAGUCCGCUCGGCCUAGCUCCGCCGACUCUGGGCCGCAGACCCCGAGAGCUCCCCGACAUGCUGGGACGCGAGCGAGGGGUGCGGCGGCUGAUCCGGUUCGUGCGAGCGAGCGCCGAGGGGGCCGUCGCCGAGGACGGCUGGUCCGAGUUCCAUUUCACGGGGAGGUCCGUGUGCGAGCUGAGGAACGAGCUGUACAGCCGCAUCGGCCCCCACCGCCACCCCCACCCCGACAUCCUCCCCUUCGACAUCGCCAUGUGCGUCCGAGCGGGCCGCUACGGGCGUUUGAUCCCGCUCGUCGUCAACCUGCCCCACGGACGCAACGGCGAGACCCUCCAGAUUGUCCUCUGCCUCUCCAGGACCCCUGCCUAUGGUAGGCUGCGAUACCCGGAUGUCCACGCAGAGUAG